rnacentral:rRNA from 1 species
UACGGAGGGUGCAAGCGUUACUCGGAAUUACUGGGCGUAAAGCGUGCGUAGGUGGUUGUUUAAGUCUGUUGUGAAAGCCCUGGGCUCAACCUGGGAACUGCAGUGGAAACUGGACAACUAGAGUGUGGUAGAGGGUAGCGGAAUUCCCGGUGUAGCAGUGAAAUGCGUAGAGAUCGGGAGGAACAUCCAUGGCGAAGGCAGCUACCUGGACCAACACUGACACUGAGGCACGAAAGCGUGGGGAGCAAACAGG